GGUUGUAGCUCAGUGGAAGAGUGCUUGCCUAGCAUGUGUGUGGCACUGGGUUCUAUCCUCAGUACCA
rnacentral:tRNA from 1 species